rnacentral:rRNA from 1 species
UAGGGAAUCUUCCGCAAUGGGCGAAAGCCUGACGGAGCAACGCCGCGUGAGUGAUGAAGGUCUUCGGAUCGUAAAACUCUGUUAUUAGGGAAGAACAAAUGUGUAAGUAACUGUGCACGUCUUGACGGUACCUAAUCAGAAAGCCACGGCUAACUACGUG